GAUGAACGCUGGCGGCGUGCCUAAUACAUGCAAGUCGAGCGAACAGAUGAGGAGCUUGCUCCUCUGACGUUAGCGGCGGACGGGUGAGUAACACGUGGAUAACCCACCUAUAAGACUGGGAUAACUUCGGGAAACCGGAGCUAAUACCGGAUAAUAUAUUGAACCGCAUGGUUCAAUAGUGAAAGACGGUUUUGCUGUCACUUAUAGAUGGAUCCGCGCCGCAUUAGCUAGUUGGUAAGGUAACGGCUUACCAAGGCGACGAUGCGUAGCCGACCUGAGAGGGUGAUCGGCCACACUGGAACUGAGACACGGUCCAGACUCCUACGGGAGGCAGCAGUAGGGAAUCUUCCGCAAUGGGCGAAAGCCUGACGGAGCAACGCCGCGUGAGUGAUGAAGGUCUUCGGAUCGUAAAACUCUGUUAUUAGGGAAGAACAAAUGUGUAAGUAACUAUGCACGUCUUGACGGUACCUAAUCAGAAAGCCACGGCUAACUACGUG
rnacentral:rRNA from 1 species